rnacentral:rRNA from 1 species
UACGUAGGGUGCAAGCGUUGUCCGGAAUUAUUGGGCGUAAAGAGCUCGUAGGCGGUCUGUCGCGUCUGCUGUGAAAACUCAGGGCUUAACCCUGAGCUUGCAGUGGGUACGGGCAGACUAGAGUGUGGUAGGGGAGACUGGAAUUCCUGGUGUAGCGGUGAAAUGCGCAGAUAUCAGGAGGAACACCGAUGGCGAAGGCAGGUCUCUGGGCCACUACUGACGCUGAGAAGCGAAAGCAUGGGGGAGCGAACAGG